UCGCAAUUACUUUUGAUGCUUUCCCUCCUUAUGGAGGGUGUCAAUGAUGGUUUUCUGCACAACUGUCAGGUCAGCAGUCUUCCCCAUGAUUGUGAUUCCUACUGAACCAGACUGAGGCCAUUUAAAGGCUCAGAAACCCUUUGCAGGUGUUAUGGCUGACUUAGCUGAUUAGAGUGGGACACUGUGAGCCUAGAAUAUUGCACCUUUUCACAAUAUUCUAAUUUACUGAGAUUGUG
rnacentral:lncRNA from 1 species